ACGGAGGGAGCUAGCGUUGUUCGGAAUUACUGGGCGUAAAGCGCGCGUAGGCGGCUUUGUAAGUUAGAGGUGAAAGCCCGGGGCUCAACCCCGGAACUGCCUUUAAAACUGCAUCGCUGGAAUCCGGGAGAGGUGAGUGGAAUUCCGAGUGUAGAGGUGAAAUUCGUAGAUAUUCGGAAGAACACCAGUGGCGAAGGCGGCUCACUGGACAACACCUGACGCUGUGGCACGAAAGCCAGGGGAGCAAACGGGA
rnacentral:rRNA from 1 species